rnacentral:rRNA from 1 species
UACGGAGGGUGCGAGCGUUAUUCGGAAUUAUUGGGCGUAAAGCGCGUGUAGGCGGGGAUACAAGUCUGAUGUGAAAGCCCUGGGCUUAACCCGGGAAGUGCAUUGGAAACUGUAUUUCUUGAGUACUGGAGAGGAAGGGGGAAUUCCCGGUGUAGAGGUGAAAUUCGUAGAGAUCGGGAGGAAUACCAGUGGCGUAGGCGCCUUUCUGGACGGUUACUGACGCUGAGACGCGAAAGCGUGGGGAGCAAACAGG